rnacentral:rRNA from 1 species
CCUACGGGUGGCUGCAGUGGGGAAUAUUGGACAAUGGGCGAAAGCCUGAUCCAGCCAUGCCGCGUGUGUGAAGAAGGCCUUCGGGUUGUAAAGCACUUUCAGUGGGGAAGAAAGCCUUGGGGCUAAUACCCUCGAGGAAGGACAUCACCCACAGAAGAAGCACCGGCUAACUCCGUGCCAGCAGCCGCGGUAAUACGGAGGGUGCGAGCGUUAAUCGGAAUUACUGGGCGUAAAGCGCGCGUAGGCGGUCUGAUAAGCCGGUUGUGAAAGCCCCGGGCUCAACCUGGGAACGGCAUCCGGAACUGUCAGGCUAGAGUGCAGGAGAGGAAGGUAGAAUUCCCGGUGUAGCGGUGAAAUGCGUAGAGAUCGGGAGGAAUACCAGUGGCGAAGGCGGCCUUCUGGACUGACACUGACGCUGAGGUGCGAAAGCGUGGGUAGCAAACAGGAUUAGAUACCCCAGUAGC